rnacentral:rRNA from 1 species
AUUGAACGCUAGCGGGAUGCUUUACACAUGCAAGUCGAACGGUAGCACGAAGAAAGCUUGCUUUCUUGGUGACGAGUGGCGAACGGGUGAGUAAUGUAUCGGAACGUACCCAGUAGCGGGGGAUAACUACGCGAAAGCGUGGCUAAUACCGCAUACGCCCUACGGGGGAAAGGGGGGGAUCGCAAGACCUCUCACUAUUGGAGCGGCCGAUAUCGGAUUAGCUAGUUGGUGGGGUAAAGGCCUACCAAGGCGACGAUCCGUAGCUGGUUUGAGAGGACGACCAGCCCCACUGGGACUGAGACACGGCCCAGACUCCUACGGGAGGCAGCAGUGGGGAAUUUUGGACAAUGGGAGCAACCCUGAUCCAGCCAUCCCGCGUGUGCGAUGAAGGCCUUCGGGUUGUAAAGCACUUUUGGCAGAGAAGAAACGACUCUGGAUAAUACCCGGGGUUAAUGACGGUAUCUGCAGAAUAAGCACCGGCUAACUACGUGCCAGCCGCCGCCGUAA